ACAGUACUUGGCUAGAAAGACUGGGGGAAACAGAUAGUGCAGCACCAACAGAGAACAAAGAGGAGAUUCAUAAACGCAGAAACCUGAGUUCUGAUAUUUCCACUAAUUGGCCAUGAAAUCUGGGAGCAAAUCUCUGCACUGCUCUCUGUCUGACUGCUGCAGUGGUGGGUCCCACAGGAGCCCUCUGGGCAUAAAGGAAAGAAUGAAAAAGGCCAUGCUGCAAGAAGAAGAUUAAAAAGAAGUUCCAGCCUUGAUCCUGAGCCACCAUCGUGAGCACAAUACCCAUGCAGCAAAGAACUCUUCUGAAUAGCUGCUCCAACAAGCCAGGAUCUAUCCCAUGUGUAGCAAGACAGCACGGAUAGCCAAGGUCUGACCACGGAAAAAAAGCGGCUCUGGCUCCUCCAUGUCUUCUCACUGCUGGACUCGGGUGUGUGGCUACCCUUGGUCCAUCCUGUUGCUCUUCAGAGGAAAAAGACAGGAUCUUGUUAAAUUGCUGAGCCUGGCCUCAAAUUUGUGCUCUUCCUCCUGCCUCAGCCUCCCGAAUCUCCGGGAUCAUAGGCCCAGAGCAACGGAGUCAGCUCACCAUGGACUAAACCUCUGAAACCACAAGCCAAAAUAAACUUUUCCUCCUCUCAGUUGUCCUUGUCAAGUAUUUUGGUCACAGCAAUGAAAAGCUGAUUAACAUACCAUCCUUAGCUUAUUAUCCUCCAUACUGAUACCUCCUUGGUGCCAGAUGGAUGCAGCAACACAGGAUAUCAUAUCUUUUCAUUACAGUCCCAAGUACAAGAGAAGCAAAACUUUAAAAAACCCUUCCCAAAGCUCUGGAUUUCCACUGGGAAGAGAAGUUGGGCCAGGGUCUUUCCCUUAUAUCUCACAGGCCAGGACUAAGUCACAUGUCCACUGCUAGCUGGAUUACCAUUCAGAUUUACACCUUUCCUGAGCCUGAGGGUGGGGGCUACCCUGAAAUCAAAGUUCUGACCGCAGGGAGAUAAGAGCAGGAUAUGGCUGUCAGUUAGAGACCACAGUUCUGCUACAUUCCUCUCCACAUGGGAUGAUGAAUUUCCAAUUGAAAUAAGGCUAUCUCUCCAAUCCAGUCAUUAAAAGAGCCCAUCCAUCCAUUCUAGCUCCAGGAAGAACAUGGAUAUCUCUAUGAAGGGCAGAUAUGCAUUCACUCAGUUGAAGACCCAGAUUAAUAAGUCUUUCUUUUAUACACAACUCUGACCCUAUAAUUACAGAAACAAGUUACAUUUAAUGUUAUACAAGGACCUACACCUUUUAAAGCCAUUCAUUAUAAAAGAUCUGUUAAGACCAAUGGCUUACUCAAGAACAUCAUGAGCCCGAGA